rnacentral:precursor_RNA from 1 species
GGCUCGGAACCUAUAGCUCAGCAGCUGGGGUGCCAGCCAU